CUGUCGUGUAUAGUCAGAAACACUAUCUGGUAUUGCUAAGCAAAAGUUUAACCAAAAGGCGGAACAAGUUAUACCAAGGAAAUUUGUAUAAAUUCUGAGAAGGUUCUUAAACUUGUAAAUGAGCCAACAAAUACAUCCGAAAAGACUUAACAACGUAUAUUCGUCGCCUUUGAUAAGAAAAAUGAAUAUAACCAACAGUACUUCAUACAAUAAAGCAAACAACUCCGCCAUUUGCUUUUGUCAUAUUUCAGAAUGUGCCGGUGACUAAUGAAACCAUAUUUAAGGUCUUCAGUUUCUUUCUGUCGAUAUUUGUUUUUUUCGUACAGAUUAGAGCAUUAAAAGUGAAGUAGUUCUGUUGAAGUGAUAGUAAUUGAUAUCACAACACAAAUGGGCACAUCAAAUGAACUAUGUACGAUGUAUUUUUC